rnacentral:lncRNA from 1 species
AUAUCUUUGAUUAUCACUUUUAUCUCUCUAGAAGAACUCAAGAUCUUAUCGAUUGCUCAAAGAUGGUGGACUUGCCGUAUGAUUAUUUGGUUAUGAUCGUUGAUGUAACGCCUGUGUUUCCGGGCUUGCCAUUUUUAGCAAUAUAAUAGUCUAUGUUAACCUUUGUAACCCGUUUUGAAAUAAUAAGAGUGUAUUAUUUGAGUAUUAUGUGUUUUGUGCUUAAUUGCUUAAUUAUGUGGUUUGAUUAAUUAAGAAUAAAAAUAAGCGUCAAAAUUUAAGUGUAAAAUAAACUUAAUAUCUUUGGAUAAUGUUGUAGUAGUUGAAACGAGGUUUCCGAAUAUAUAUAGAACGCCCAAAUCUGACUUCGUAUGAGGAAGUUAUGAUUUGUCGAAGUUUCGACUUUGCGGAAUGCAACCUGAAAUACUCGAUUUGAGAUCGAGCGGUUUUUAGCCGAAGCAUUCUAAACGAGGAUCGAAGGUCUCGUUGUUGGUAUCGAAGCGAUAAAAAGUUAGGCGAGAACGGAGUUCGUAUGAAGAAGAUAUGAAUUUCCGGAGUUUAUUAAUUAAUUUGUAUUUAUUUUUAAUUGGAAAUUUCGGCAUUAUCCGAAGGGGAGUCAGCGGUCCGAUCCAAAGUAUGCCCCGCGUUCUCCGAAGAUGUCGACACUCGCAGCAAGUGGUUUCGGAUGACGAACGCAGUGACGAUUUCGGACCUGUAUGCCCCGCGUACGUGCGAGGCUCAGCCUCUAUAAAAGGCUUGCGAGGGAAGCCGAGAGUUUUGUUCAUUUUCUCUCUUCUUUCUCCCAUUUUGCAUCGUUUUGCGUGCCAGAAAUACCCCGAAGCCCCGGUAUUAUUCUCGAGCCCCGAGGCAAGUCCCGAGAUCCCGAAGUUCCCGAGAAGUGCGGUUCCCGAGUCGAAGCUCUGCCCGCGAGAAGUUCGAUUUUUGUGAAGAUCUUCCAGAUCUGCUGAGGAUUACUACUUCUGCAAGUCGUAGUGCUGUCCGAUCGUCUUCUGAUCAAGUGAGUGUAUACUACCUUUCAUAAACACGAUAAUAAUACAAGUAUGGUUCGAGUGUAUUAAGUAUAUUGUUGUUUAUAUGUGUGAGUGUGUAGUUACUUUCUUCUAACGCAUGAUUAUGAAGUAUUUUAUACGAAAUACGUGUUAUGUGUAGAAUUUGUUGUUAUGUGUGUGAAUGUAUGUUCACCCUCUUCCAUCUCAUAGAUCUGAAUUGCUUUCUAUGAAAUACGUGUUACGUGGGUAUGCCUCAUCUGUUAUGUGGAAUAUAUAUUGAAUGAANCGAGAAGUUCGAUUUUUGUAGAGAUCUUCCAGAUCUGCUGAGGAUUACUACUUCUGCAAGUCGUAGUGCUGUCCGAUCAUCUUCUGAUCAAGUGAGUGUAUACUACCUUUCAUAAACACGAUAAUAAUACAAGUAUGGUUCGAGUGUAUUAAGUAUAUUGUUGUUUAUAUGUGUGAGUGUGUAGUUACUUUCUUCUAACGCAUGAUUAUGGAGUAUUUUAUACGAAAUACGUGUUAUGUGUAGAAUUUGUCAUUAUGUGUGUGAAUGUAUGUUCACCAUCUUCCAUCUCAUAGAUCUGAAUUGAUUUCUGUGAAAUACGUGUUAUGUGGGUAUGCCUCAUCUAUUAUGUGGAAUAUAUAUUGAAUGAAAAUGAUAUACAAGUUUUAAACUAUGUAUGAAAAUAUAUAUUUUAUCUACUAAUAUGUUGGGUAGAACAUGGGUAGAUAGUUGGUGUGUAAUAAACAGAUGAGAGGCCUCGAUGUUGUUGUUGUUGUUGAUCUAGUUAUUCAGCGGAGUAUGGAUAACGACCACGGACUCUUUCUAGACAGUCCAGUGGAACGCUAGCAGGUUCAUAACCUGUAGGUGUUGUGAACGAUGUGUUCACCGGUGUACUCUAUCCCCCUCAUGGUUGCCUUUAGGAUAUC